GUCAACAUGGCCGAGCGGUCUAAGGCGCUGGUCUUGAAAACCAGUACGUUUAUCGUGCAGCGGUUCGAAUCCGCUUGUUGACG
rnacentral:tRNA from 1 species